GAUGAAGAACGCAGCGAAAUGCGAUAAGUAGUGUGAAUUGCAGAAUUCAGUGAAUCAUCGAAUCUUUGAACGCACAUUGCGCCCCUUGGUAUCCCGAGGGGCAUGCCUGUUCGAGCGUCAUUUCACCACUCAAGCCUGGCUUGGUGUUGGGCGACGUCCUCUUUGGGGACGCGCCUCGAAACGCUCGGCGGCGUGGCACCGGCUUUAAGCGUAGCAGAAUCUUUCGCUUUGGAAGUCGGGGCCCCGUCUGCCCGAAGACCUGCUCGCAAGGUUGACCUCGGAUCAGGCAGGGAUACCCGCUGAACUUAAGCAUAUCAAUAAGCGGAGGA
rnacentral:misc_RNA from 1 species